UAGGAGACUAAGUGCUGACUCGA
rnacentral:piRNA from 1 species